rnacentral:rRNA from 1 species
AGCUCCAAUUGCGUAUAUUAAAGUUGUUGCAGUUUAAAAAGCUCAUAAUUGUAUUUCUGAUGAGAGGGAUUGGUCCAGCACACUGUGUUGAAACUGGAUCCUCUCCGGCCAUCCUUGGGUGGAUCUUGUCUAGCAUUAAGUUGUCAGUCAGGAGAUGCCCAUCGUUUAUUGUGAAAAUGUUUGAGUGUUCAAAGCAGGCUUAUGCCAUUGAAUAUAUUAAGAUAGAAUAAUAAGAUAGGGCCCUGGUACUAUUUUGUUGGUUUGCGUACUGAGGAAAUGAUUAAUAGGGACAGUUAAGGGUAUUUGUAUUCGAUAUCCAGUGGUGAAAUACUUAGACCUACGGAAGACAAACUAGUGGGAAAGCAUUUACCAAUGAUUAUUUCA